rnacentral:lncRNA from 1 species
CAGGAGAGAACAGGAGAUAUGGCUCACAUAUCAGCCAGGAGCCCUUCCUUUGCUUGUUGAGAAGUAACACAAUGAAGAUUCAAGGUGCUUUGUGUAGGAGAAGAUGGCCAUUUUGAUGAAGAAUCGGUCCUGUGGAUGCUAAUCCAUGAAUCUCUAAGGCUAAAGUUAUCCAGCAAGUGGCUUCUGUUGUAAGAAAACCAAUAUCACGUCCAUCCUGAGUAAGUUUACACAGUUACCUAACCUCUCCAUGUAAGUGAAAAUUCUAAUAUCUAACUUGGCAGUUGAGAGUGAAACGAGUUUAUUAAUCUGCAGACUGCUGGCAGAUGGUAUCCGUUCUCCAUUGUCAAAAUAAUGCCUUGUAACAAGUGACCACAAAACCUCAAGGGCAUGUGACAAUAAGUGUUUAUUGUUCGUGUGUUUGGGUCUGCUGGGGGUUGGCGAGAUGGUUUGGCUGAUCUAGGCUGGGCUUGAGCACAUUUCCGAGGCUUGCCUAGCUGUCAGCUGGCCGAUCGAGGCUGAGACAUCCGGG